AGAGGAGUGGGUGACAGUAGAGUUUGUUUGUCAGAACCAGAGGGGAACUUUUAUCCAGGAUGCCUGAGCCAGCUAAAAAAACAGUGUCGGCCUUCACUAAGAAACCCAAGACCUACAUAGGCGUGCUCGGCGUCGCCGCCAUCUUCGAGGCCGAGACCGAGAAGCCCGACGCUAAAGUGCGCUGGCAGAAGGACGGCAAAGACCUCACCACCAGCGACAAGUAUGAGAUCAAAGCGGAGACCGGCAAGCACUCGCUGACCAUAAAAGAUGUGGCCAUGGAGGACGCAGGGGGUUACUGUGUUAUCGCGGCAGCGUCAAAGGUCAAAUUUGAACUAAAGAUAAAGGAACCGGAAGUGUUGAAGAAGGUGGCUGCCCCUGCUCCAGACCCAGCUCCUGCCCUGCUCCCCGCUGCUGAUGCUGCCCCUCCCCCAGCAGAUGCCCCGGCUGAUGGGGCAGCUCCAGAGCCAGCUGCCCCCACGGAGGCUCCAGCUGCUCCUGAAUCUGGCCCCCCAACUGCCCCUGCCCCAGAGACCAACGGCCACGGCCCGGACCCCAUUACUGACCGGCGCCAGUCUUUGGACCCAAAUGCUGAACGGCGAGGAUCUGUGGACACUCGGCAGGACCUUACUGGGCUGUUCACAGAGAAGCCUCAGAGUGCGGAUGUCACAGUGGGUGAGAACAUCACGUUCGUGGCCAAGGUGAACGCUGCCUCCCUCCUGAAGAAACCCACGGUCAAGUGGAUCAAAGGGAAAUGGAUGGACUUGGCCAGCAAGUCCGGCAAACACCUGCAGCUCAAGGAGCUCUACGACCGCAAUACAAAGGUGUAUACUUUUGAGAUGCAGGUCAUCGCUACCAAACCCAGCUUUGCCGGAAGCUACAGGUGUGAGGUGACAUCAAGAGACAAGUUUGACAGCUGCAACUUUGACUUGACUGUACAUGAGGCUCGGGCAGCGGAGGAGUUUGAUAUCCGUGCCGCCUUCAGACGCACUAGCGUUGAUGGGAGUGAGGAAGCUGGAGAACUGGACUUCAGCUCAAUCCUCAAGAAAAGAAAGGCCGUGCAAAACGUGAAAGGGUCGGACACUGAUGUCUGGGACAUCCUGCUGAAGGCCGCGCCCACGGAGUACGAGAAGAUCGCCUUCCAGUAUGGCAUCACCGACUUGCGCGGCAUGCUAAAGCGCCUGAAGAAGAUGAAGAAGCCUGAGGAGAAGAAGAGCGCAGCUUUCCUGAGAGGGAUGGACCCUGCCUACCAGGUGGAGAAGGGACAUAAGAUCAAACUGGCUGUCGAGGUGGCCGACCCCAAUGCUGAGGUCAAAUGGCUGAAGAACGGUCAGCCUAUCCAACAAUCAGGAAGCAAGUACAUCUUUGAGAGUGUGGGAAACAUGCGGUACCUGACCAUCAAUCACUGCUCAUUGGCAGACGAUGCUGCUUACACCUGCCUAAUUGGAGAAGAGAAGACUGUCACUGAGCUCUUUGUUAAAGAGCCUCCGGUGACCAUUCUCCAGAACCUGGAGGACCAGAUGGCGAUGAAGGGGGAGAGGGUGGAGUUUAUGUGUGAGGUGUCCGAGGAGGGAGCCACCGUCAAAUGGGAGAAGGACGGCGUCGAGUUGACCCGUGACGAGUCCUUCAAGUACCGCUUCAAGAAGGAUGGACACAAGCACUACCUCAUCAUCAACGAGGCCACCAAGGAGGAUUGUGGCAACUACUGCGUCAAGACCAAUGGAGGCGAAUCAGUGGCUGAGCUCAUGGUGCAAGAGAAGGAGCUGGAGGUGUACCAGAGCAUCGCUGACCUGACGGUCAAGGCCAAGGACCAGGCCGUGUUCAAGUGUGAGGUGUCGGAUGAGAACGUCAAGGGCACCUGGUUCAGGAACGGAGUGGAGGUGCAGGCCGAUGAACGCACACACAUCACACACAUCGGCAGGAAUCAUAAGCUCACCAUAGAUGACGUGAAGCCGGAGGAUGAGGGAGACUACACAUUUGUCCCGGAGGGUUACGCAUUUAACCUCUCAGCCAAACUUAACUUCCUCGAGGUCAAGAUUGACUACGUGCCUCGCCAGGAUCCUCCAAAGAUCCAUCUGGACACCUGUGGACGGGUCCCAGAGUCCACUAUAGUGGUCGUGGCUGGAAACAAGCUUCGAUUGGACGUGCCAAUCACAGGAGAUCCCGCCCCUACCGUGGUCUGGACAAAGGGUGAGAAGGGUAGGGCCAGAAAGCCGGAGGGGGAGGACACAGAGGAUUCCGUCCGCACAUGGACCACCGGCAAGAACGGGGAAGUGAUCACAGAGGCCACCUCAGAUGGGCGUGUCCACGUGGAGAGCACAAAGGGCCACUGCAUCUUCACCAUCGAGGGGGCGGAGCGUCAGGACGAGGGCGUGUACUCCGUCAUCGUGCGGAAUCCGGCGGGAGAGGACCAGGCUGACAUUACCGUCAAAGUCGUAGAUGUGCCCGAUCCUCCUCAGACUCCCAGAAUCCUCAGCGUUGGGGAGGACUCCUGUGUUGUCCAGUGGGACCCUCCGCUCUUCGAUGGAGGAUCACCAGUCACUGGUUAUGUGCUUGAAAGAAAGAAGAAGAAGAGUUACCGCUGGAUGCGUUUGAACUUUGACCCCCACAAGGACACCACGUAUACAGCCAAGCGGAUGAUUGAGGGCAUGGCGUAUGAGAUCAGAGUGUACGCCGUCAACGCCAUCGGAAUGUCACGCCACAGCAUGCCCUCCCAGCCAUUCGUGCCAGUCGCCCCAACCAGUGAGCCCCUGGGCCUUUGCGUUGAUGACAUCAGUGACACGACCAUCUCACUGAAGUGGAAAGCUCCAGAUAGGCUGGGAUCGGCUGAGCUCGACGGCUACGGGGUCGAGUACUGCAAGGAGGGCACUGAUGAGUGGAUUCCUGCCUUCGAGGGUCUCACUGAACGCACCUCGGUCACCAUCCGUGACCUGCCCACGGGGGAGAGGAUGCAGUUCCGUGUGCGGGCGUACAACUUGGCUGGCCCCAGCUCCCCAGCUAGCCUAGCACAGCCUGUCACCAUCCGAGAGAUUAUGCAACGCCCCAAAAUCUGGAUACCCCGCCAUCUGCGACAGACCCUGGUGAAGAAAGUCGGGGAGACUGUCAACUUGGUGAUUCCCUUCCAGGGCAAACCUCGACCCAAAGUUACCUGGACAAAAGAUGGCGAACCAUUGGAGCCUAAGCAGGCCAGCAUUCGGAACAGCGACGUGGACACCAUCCUCUUCAUCCGUCGGUCAGAACGCAAGGAUUCUGGGAAGUACGAGAUCAAACUUGAGAUCGAGAAUGUGGAGGACACGGCUGACAUCACCAUUCAGAUUGUUGACUUACCUGGCCCCCCUCUGAACGUGAAGAUUUGUGAGGUGUGGGGAUUCAACGUGGCCCUUGAAUGGAAACCCCCCAAGGACAACGGCAACUGUGACAUCAGCGGCUACACCAUCCAGAAAGCCGACAAGAAAACCAUGGAGUGGUACAACGUCUACGACGGGUACAGACGCACCAACUGUGUGGUGUCGGACCUCAUCAUGGGCAACGAGUAUGUGUUCCGCAUCUACGCCAUCAACAUGGUGGGCAGCAGUCUAGACCCCUGCGCCACCAAAGACAGCGCCUUCAUCCAGAAAACAGGUUUUGUGUACAAACCUCCCUCCUAUAAGGAGCAUGACUUCUCUGAGGCACCCAAGUUCACCCACCCUCUGGUGAAUCGCUCUGUCAUCACUGGCUACAAUGUCACCCUCAGCUGUGCCGUUAGGGGCAUCCCCAAGCCCAAAAUCACGUGGUAUAAGAACAAGAUGGACAUCUCCAAUGAGGCCAAGUACCGGAUGUUCAGCAAGCAGGGUGUGCUCACGCUCGAGAUCCGUAAGCCAUGUCCUUUCGAUGGUGGCGUCUACAUGUGCAAGGCCGUUAAUGCAAGUGGGGAGGACGUAGUUGAGUGCAAGCUGGAAGUUCGCCCUCGUGAGGCGUGAGUAAGCACAGAGUGAAUCUGAGCCUUACCCAAGGACGAACCCAAGAAGUGAGACACCUCGGGAGCCCUCUCCUCAUCAUCUGCCCUUUCUCCUGCACCUCUGGGGGGCAUCUUCUACAUUCUGAGAUGGUGCUUGUCAAGCGACACAACUGAAGGAUUUCAUUGGCUGUCAGACAUCCCCCUGUGUUUUACCGCUCUUUGUGUUUGAUCUCCAUGUUGUGUGUGUGUGUAGCCUAUCGUUAAUCCUAUAGUCACCAUCCUCAACAUUUGUGCAUUAAACAUCCUGUACCAUUGCA